CACGUAGGGCGCAAGCGUUGUCCGGAAUUAUUGGGCGUAAAGAGCUCGUAGGCGGUCUGUUACGUCUGCUGUGAAAACCCGGGGCUUAACCCUGGGCUUGCAGUGGAUACGGGCAGACUAGAGGCAGGUAGGGGAGAAUGGAAUUCCCGGUGUAGCGGUGAAAUGCGCAGAUAUCAGGAAGAACACCCGUGGCGAAGGCGGCUCUCUGGGACGGUACUGACGCUGAGACGCGAAAGCGUGGGGAGCGAACAGG
rnacentral:rRNA from 1 species